UCCGUAGGUGAACCUGCGGAAGGAUCAUUACCGAGUGCGGGUCCUUUGGGCCCAACCUCCCAUCCGUGUCUAUUAUACCCUGUUGCUUCGGCGGGCCCGCCGCUUGUCGGCCGCCGGGGGGGCGCCUUUGCCCCCCGGGCCCGUGCCCGCCGGAGACCCCAACACGAACACUGUCUGAAAGCGUGCAGUCUGAGUUGAUUGAAUGCAAUCAGUUAAAACUUUCAACAAUGGAUCUCUUGGUUCCGGCAUCGAUGAAGAACGCAGCGAAAUGCGAUAACUAAUGUGAAUUGCAGAAUUCAGUGAAUCAUCGAGUCUUUGAACGCACAUUGCGCCCCCUGGUAUUCCGGGGGGCAUGCCUGUCCGAGCGUCAUUGCUGCCCUCAAGCCCGGCUUGUGUGUUGGGUCGCCGUCCCCCUCUCCGGGGGGACGGGCCCGAAAGGCAGCGGCGGCACCGCGUCCGAUCCUCGAGCGUAUGGGGCUUUGUCACAUGCUCUGUAGGAUUGGCCGGCGCCUGCCGACGUUUUCCAACCAUUUUUUCCAGGUUGACCUCGGAUCAGGUAGGGAUACCCGCUGAACUUAAGCAUAUCAAUAAGCGGAGGA
rnacentral:rRNA from 1 species